rnacentral:rRNA from 1 species
UACGAAGGGUGCAAGCGUUACUCGGAAUUACUGGGCGUAAAGCGUGCGUAGGUGGUUCGUUAAGUCUGCCGUGAAAGCCCCGGGCUCAACCUGGGAAUGGCGGUGGAUACUGGCGGACUAGAGUGCGGUAGAGGGUGGUGGAAUUCCCGGUGUAGCAGUGAAAUGCGUAGAGAUCGGGAGGAACAUCUGUGGCGAAGGCGGCACUCUGGGCCAGUACUGACACUGAGGAGCGAAAGCGUGGGGAGCGAACAGG